rnacentral:siRNA from 1 species
UCCUGUUUAUUUAAAGUCCAACAC